AUUUUUUAAUAAGGUGGGUCUAUGUAUAGCUUUAAUCUUUUAACUAUUAUAUAAGCUAAGCCAAACACGCUGCUCAAAUAAUUACACAAUCGACAAUUUGGUAAUAAUUAACAGGCAAAAAUGACACCAAACCCAAUCAAAAGAGCAAAUAAUUGUAGAUUCCAACUUCCGAGGGAAUUAGAUUUUGCCACGUGGCCCAGGCUUGGGUGGAAGUUGUGGGCCCUUGACAAAUGGAAAAAUGUCCCCUGUUGCGGUGGAGCUAAAGUAAGCAAGGGCGGAGCCACCUCCAAAUAUCAAGAACUUGAGCAAUAGACCUCUCUUGGUGGUGGAGCUGCAAAUGUCUCGAAGAACUUGCUCUGCAAUAGUAAAUCGAUACAGUAAUAAAAAUUGGUUCCUGAGCACACGAAGUUUU
rnacentral:lncRNA from 1 species